UACGAAGGGGGCGAGCGUUGUUCGGAUUUACUGGGCGUAAAGGGCGCGUAGGCUGCCGAUCAAGUCAGGCGUGAAAGCCCCGGGCUCAACCUGGGAAUGGCGCUUGGGACUGGUUGGCUUGAGUUCGGGAGAGGAGAGUGGAAUUCCCAGUGUAGAGGUGAAAUUCGUAGAUAUUGGGAAGAACACCGGUGGCGAAGGCGGCUCUCUGGACCGAGACUGACGCUGAGGCGCGAAAGCGUGGGGAGCAAACAGG
rnacentral:rRNA from 1 species